AGUCUGCCGGGGGGGCAUGAAAAUGACAGUUUUCGUUGCGUCGCUAGAGGUGGAAAAUCGUUGCCGGAAAGACUGUUUCUUCGUGUUUGCCAAAAAAAGAGCUCAAGGUUGAUUUUCAAAAUUCAUACAUCUUUUGGAAGAGCUACUAAUGUUAUGCGGGCAAACAUUGUACAUCGUAAUGGAAUCAUGUGGAUAUCAGCCGGUGCAUGUCUCAAGCACCGAGGAAAUUAUGGAGAGAGAUUCGUUUUUGGUAGCAUAAGGAGAAAAAGAUUCCGGAAGACGCGAUUCAUGGAUGGCUCAUAUAUCAAUAUUUUCGGUAUCCAUGGAACGCCUUCAUGUUUCGGAAAACACCAGCGGGA